rnacentral:sRNA from 1 species
CUCCUGUGAACCUCAGUUUCUCCCAAAGUGGAAGUGAUAGGAUGAUCCUGAGGGUUCAGCUUUUGCAUUCAUACUACCAUCCCUGCCACCCCCUCCCCCCAUCCCAGCCAUCUAACCUUUGGGAGUACCUAGGGAUGCUCCUGGUGCGGAUAGCACCACCCCCAGCUCCCAUUCACACACCAUUCCAUUAUUCCUUUCCCCCGCCCCGCUCCCAAGUCCUCUUGUAAUGGCCUUGGGCUGUGCUGCAUGCUAGAAUCCUUGAGAUGUAUCCUGCUCUUUCUUCGUAGCUGGUGAGCUUGUUGCUCAUUGGAGUGGCUGCUUGGGGCAAGGGCCUGGGUCUGGUGUCCAGCAUCCACAUCAUCGGCGGAGUCAUUGCUGUGGGAGUCUUCCUUCUCCUUAUUGCAGUGGCUGGACUGGUGGGUGCUGUCAACCACCACCAAGUCCUGCUGUUCUUUUACAUGAUCAUCCUUGGUUUGGUCUUCAUCUUCCAAUUUGUAAUCUCUUGCUCAUGUCUGGCUAUUAACCGAAGCAAACAGGUAAGACAGUACCCUUUCAAGUACUUACUUGCUUUUUAAAAUUUUCCUCUUAACCUCGAACUCCUUCCUUAGUCUGGCCCCAACUACCCAAAGAUCAUCCUUAGGUGCACUGCCUCUGGCCUCCUGGGCUAUUUGCGUCCUCUGGGAUGUCUGGUUAAUUUUCCAUGAGGAUGAUCUAGAGAACCUGAAAAGGUAGAUAUUUAUCGUGUUUAUAAUUGUUGCACACUGUUAUGCUUCUGUUUGACUUCCUUUGCUGGACUAGGGAAAUUGAGGCACUUGAACUGAAACCAGGAUGUAGGGAGACUUAAUUUCCCUCUACCCAUAUCUUCCAGGCAGAUGUCAUCAAUGCUUCUUGGUGGGUGAUGAGCAACAAGACUCGGGAUGAACUGGAAAGAAGUUUUGAUUGUUGUGGCUUAUUCAACCUCACAACCCUGUAUCAACAAGAUUAUGAUUUCUGCACUGCAAUCUGCAAGAGCCAGAGCCCCACAUGCCAGAUGUGUGGAGAAAAGUUUCUUAAGUAUUCAGAUGAAGCCCUGAAAAUCCUAGGGGGUGUUGGACUCUUCUUUAGCUUUACAGAGAUCCUUGGUGUUUGGCUAGCAAUGAGAUUUCGGAAUCUGAAGGAUCCUAGAGCCAACCCCAGUGCCUUUCUAUGAGACUUUGGAUCCUUCUGACUUCUCUUCUGCUCUCUCUAAGCUUUCUCUUCCUCCCGUAGGGAAUGUCUAGGGUCUGUAACCGUUUUGGUUUGAGAAAAAGGAAAGGCCCCUUGUCACAUCCUCUAAAAUUGAUGGAAUAGCAAGAUUUUAUGCCUUGACAUAUUUUACUGGGAGCCAGACUAUAAGGAAUAAAAGGAAAAACUUUCUCCCUCUCUCUCCAAGAGGAUAUGGGAAGCUUCUAGGAGUGCAUAGGAUGGGGGCUGGAGUCAUUCUUAGCUGUUUCCCCUCCUCCUCCGUCCAUAUGCUGGAUCAUCUCAACAUACCCUGGUGUGGCACUAAGGGUAAAUCAGGGAUAGAGCCAAGGAGAAAACAACCAAGAACUCUUUCCUGUAAUAAGCAGGACCCAGUUUGAGAAAGUUCAGCGAAUAUAAAAGUAAAAGCCAUUUGAAAAUCUGUAUUCUUUUUUUUUUUUUUGACACACAGUCUUGCUUUGUCACCCAGGCUGGAGUGCAAUGGCAUGAUCUCGGCUCACUGCAACCUCUGCCUCCCGGGUUCAAGCGAUUCUCCUGCCUCAGUCUCCCAAGUAGCUGGGAGUAGCUUGGGUGGUGUGCACCACCACACCCGGCUAAUUUUGUAUUUUUAGUAGAGACAGGGUUUCCACCAUGUUAGUCAGGCUGGUCUCGAACUCCUGACCUCAGGUGAUCCACCCGUGUUGGCCUCCCAAAGUGCUGGGAUUAUAGGCGUGAGCCACCGCGCCCCGCCUAAAAUCCAUAUUCAAAGAAGCAAUUUCAGUUCCUUUCUAAGCUUUGUCAGUCAAGGGGCUCCACUGACUUCCUAGGCCCUGUAACUUAACCAGUCUUUAAGGUUUUGCAGGAAAGUCCCUCCUUCCAAGUGGUUUUUCCAAAUCGCACAAUGGCAAAGCCAAACAGAGGAAGAAAC